rnacentral:rRNA from 1 species
UGGCGGCAGGCCUAACACAUGCAAGUCGAGCGGCAGCGGAAAGUAGCUUGCUACUUUGCCGGCGAGCGGCGGACGGGUGAGUAAUGUCUGGGGAUCUGCCUGAUGGAGGGGGAUAACUACUGGAAACGGUAGCUAAUACCGCAUGACCUCGAAAGAGCAAAGUGGGGGACCUUCGGGCCUCACGCCAUCGGAUGAACCCAGAUGGGAUUAGCUAGUAGGUGGGGUAAUGGCUCACCUAGGCGACGAUCCCUAGCUGGUCUGAGAGGAUGACCAGCCACACUGGAACUGAGACACGGUCCAGACUCCUACGGGAGGCAGCAGUGGGGAAUAUUGCACAAUGGGCGCAAGCCUGAUGCAGCCAUGCCGCGUGUGUGAAGAAGGCCUUCGGGUUGUAAAGCACUUUCAGCGAGGAGGAAGGCAUUGUGGUUAAUAACCGCAGUGAUUGACGUUACUCGCAGAAGA